rnacentral:lncRNA from 1 species
GCCGGGCAUGGUGGUGCAUGCCUUUAAUCCCAGCACUUGGGAGACGAAGGCAGGUGGAUUUCUGAGUCAAGGCCAGCCUGGUCUACAAAGUGAGUUCCAGGACAGCCAGGGCUGUACAGAGAAACCCUGUCUCGAAAAACAAAACAAAACAUCAAAAAAAGAAAGUCAGAAGGGAAACCAGAGGUUCCUUCUCCCUUACUUUUAAAGAAAGGCUCUCUCUGUGUAGCCCUGGAUGUCCUGAAAUUCACUGUAUAUACCAGGCUGGUCUUGAACUCACAGAAAUCCACCUGU